GUCCGAUCCCCACGAUACGUCGAUCCAGCCGACGGUGUUCCUGGGUCUUCGUCCGACAUUCCACGACCAAAUACCGACGUAUGGUCGGUCGGCUCCCCCAAACACCGUACGACUGCUGAGGGCCGCUGUCCUGAUAAAGGCAUGCGGCGUAGCCACCCUGGGACAUCGUCCCACCCUGGACAUGGGUCAACCCAAGUGAUUUGACAGCCCCA
rnacentral:lncRNA from 1 species